GACGAACGCUGGCGGCGUGCUUAACACAUGCAAGUCGAGCGGUAAGGCCCUUUCGGGGUACACGAGCGGCGAACGGGUGAGUAACACGUGGGUGACCUGCCCUCAGCUCUGGGAUAAGCCUGGGAAACCGGGUCUAAUACCGGAUAUGACUCCAUGACGCAUGUUGUGGGGUGGAAAGCCUUGUGCGGCUGAGGAUGGGCCCGCGGCCUAUCAGCUUGUUGGUGGGGUGAUGGCCUACCAAGGCGACGACGGGUAGCCGGCCUGAGAGGGCGACCGGCCACACUGGGGACUGAGACACGGCCCAGACUCCUACGGGAGGCAGCAGUGGGGAAUCUUGCGCAAUGGGCGAAAGCCUGACGCAGCGACGCCGCGUGAGGGAUGACGGCCUGGUU
rnacentral:rRNA from 1 species